rnacentral:rRNA from 2 species
UGCCUAUACAUGCAGUCGAACGAACUCUGGUAUUGAUUGGUGCUUGCAUCAUGAUUUACAUUUGAGUGAGUGGCGAACUGGUGAGUAACACGUGGGAAACCUGCCCAGAAGCGGGGGAUAACACCUGGAAACAGAUGCUAAUACCGCAUAACAACUUGGACCGCAUGGUCCGAGUUUGAAAGAUGGCUUCGGCUAUCACUUUUGGAUGGUCCCGCGGCGUAUUAGCUAGAUGGUGGGGUAACGGCUCACCAUGGCAAUGAUACGUAGCCGACCUGAGAGGGUAAUCGGCCACAUUGGGACUGAGACACGGCCCAAACUCCUACGGGAGGCAGCAGUAGGGAAUCUUCCACAAUGGACGAAAGUCUGAUGGAGCAACGCCGCGUGAGUGAAGAAGGGUUUCGGCUCGUAAAACUCUGUUGUUAAAGAAGAACAUAUCUGAGAGUAACUGUUCAGGUAUUGACGGUAUUUAACCAGAAAGCCACGGCUAACUACGUGCCAGCAGCCGCGGUAAUACGUAGGUGGCAAGCGUUGUCCGGAUUUAUUGGGCGUAAAGCGAGCGCAGGCGGUUUUUUAAGUCUGAUGUGAAAGCCUUCGGCUCAACCGAAGAAGUGCAUCGGAAACUGGGAAACUUGAGUGCAGAAGAGGACAGUGGAACUCCAUGUGUAGCGGUGAAAUGCGUAGAUAUAUGGAAGAACACCAGUGGCGAAGGCGGCUGUCUGGUCUGUAACUGACGCUGAGGCUCGAAAGUAUGGGUAGCAAACAGGAUUAGAUACCCUGGUAGUCCAUACCGUAAACGAUGAAUGCUAAGUGUUGGAGGGUUUCCGCCCUUCAGUGCUGCAGCUAACGCAUUAAGCAUUCCGCCUGGGGAGUACGGCCGCAAGGCUGAAACUCAAAGGAAUUGACGGGGGCCCGCACAAGCGGUGGAGCAUGUGGUUUAAUUCGAAGCUACGCGAAGAACCUUACCAGGUCUUGACAUACUAUGCAAAUCUAAGAGAUUAGACGUUCCCUUCGGGGACAUGGAUACAGGUGGUGCAUGGUUGUCGUCAGCUCGUGUCGUGAGAUGUUGGGGUUAAGUCCCGCAACGAGCGCAACCCUUAUUAUCAGUUGCCAGCAUUAAGUUGGGCACUCUGGGGGAGACUGCCGGUGACAAACCGGAGGGAAAGGGGGGGGAUGACGUCAAAUCAUCAUGGCCCCUUAUGACCUGGGGCUACACACUGGCUUCAAUGGGAUGGGACAACCAAGUUGCGACAC